rnacentral:rRNA from 1 species
UACGUAGGGGGCUAGCGUUGUCCGGAUUUAUUGGGCGUAAAGAGCUCGUAGGUGGUUCGGUAAGUCGGAUGUGAAAUCUCCAGGCUCAACCUGGAGGGGUCAUUCGAUACUGCCGUGACUGGAGUUCGGUAGAGGAGUGUGGAAUUCCUGGUGGAGCGGUGAAAUGCGCAGAGAUCAGGAGGAACACCCGUAGCGAAGGCGGCACUCUGGGCCGAUACUGACACUGAGGAGCGAAAGCGUGGGGAGCGAACAGGAUUAGAAACCCUAGUAGUCC